UCCAUCAGUGCAUGCUGAACCCAAGGUCUC
rnacentral:piRNA from 1 species